GCUUCCUCAACCCUCCUCUCUCUCUCUCUCUCUAACAUUCUCUGAGAAGCCCUAAUUCAAUUUCUUUUUAUCAGAUAGAUCAGGCAUUCAAACGAAUCAAACUCUAUGUUUGUCUUUAUACUCUAAACCCAAAUCCCCCCACCAUCGACAUUUCUUAUUGUUUCACUCAUUAUCAAAUUCAUACGCCACCAAUCAAUCUGUUUUCAAAUUCGAAUACCAUAUGGGUUAUGGUAAAGCUUUUAAUUUUGAUGUAACUAAUAAUGGUGAUACACGAAUCUUAAAAGGGUUUAGCUGCUGUAGUCUUACCCAAUCCCCCCUCAAGUGCUGUGGGAUGGGGGACUGGGAAGACUACAUUUGCUCAACUCAUUUACAAAGAAUGGGGCGGAUUGGAAUGGGACAUGAAUCACCAAGGAUUACCUCCUGACUUGGUAGUGAUUAUCAAUGAAGAUUAAGCACAGAACAUCUGCUACAGGGAAAUUGAAACCUGGGAGCUGGUAAAUGCAAAGAAAGUAUUUCUGGUCAGUUUUCAUCCCUGUUCUAGAUGGGUGGAUAUGAGACACCAAGGGUUACCUUCUGAUUUGGUAGGGGAUUAUCAAUGAUGAUAAAGCAUCAAACAUCUGUUACAGUUUCUGCUGGUGCAGCAUUUUCUGCAGGGGAGCAUCAUUCUCUGCUGCUGAAGCUUCAGACGGUAAAGAUCCAUCCAUUAUCGUAUUUGCUAGUCAAUUUGUAUUCCCAAUCUUGUAAAGCCUUGGUUAAAAGGGGCCAAGACUGGUGAUAUCAGCAGUUUGGUCUGUACCUUUGAAGGACAUCUUUGCGAGAGCUCUACUAGCACCUUUACCAAUGAACAGAGUGUAUCAGACACCAGGUUCAUAAAAAAUCCUGCUCUGAGAAACAGCACAGAUCUGUCUUUUAUUAACGCCACAAGUAACUUCUUUAAACACACGUCAUUUAACUGGGGGUGGUGAAGUUUCCAUAUCUUCGUUAAUUUCUCUAUGUCUUGGCAGUAUAUAUGCCAGAACAACACAAUAAAAAGCUAAAGCUAAUGCUAGUAAUGUGAAAAAAGUUGCUGGUGCUGAUAUUGGUUGUUCAA